rnacentral:sRNA from 1 species
AGGGUGAUUAAGAAAUCAAAAGACGUGGCAAAGGAAGCAGUUGGAGGCCAAGCAGAAGACCUCUUGAAACUCAAAGAUGGGCAGCGACAAAAGGAGACUAAAAAGAAGAAAGGAUGGCUGGAUCAGGAAGACCAGGAAGCACCACUGCAGAAAGGGGAUGCCAAAAUAAAAGCUCAAGAGGAAGCUGACAAACGCAAGAAAGAACACGAGAGAAUUAUGUUACAAAAUUUACAAGAACGGUUAGAAAGGAAAAAGAGAAUAGAAGAAAUUAUGAAGCGGACAAGAAAGACAGAUGUGAAUGCCUCAAAGGUCGCAGAAACAUCCAGCCAUGACAUAUAUGAAGAGGCUGAGGCUGACAACGAAGAAAGCGACAAGGACUCAUUGAAUGAAAUGUUUCCAUCAGUGGAUGUUGAACAGGAAAGUCAGGUCCUCUACUAGGUGCUGGGGAUGAAGGGGUGAAAAGACAUGGCCUCAGUUUGAAGGAGCCAUAGCCAGUGGGAAG